rnacentral:rRNA from 1 species
GACCCCAUGCCGAACUCAGAAGUGAAACGCCGUAGCGCCGAUGGUAGUGUGGGGUUUCCCCAUGCGAGAGUAGGGAACUGCCAGAC